ACUUUUAACAAUAGAUCUCUUGGUUCUAGUAUUAAUAAAGAACGCAGCGAAAUGCGAUAAGUAGUGUGAAUUAUAGAAUUUAGUGAAUUAUUAAAUCUUUAAACGCAUAUUACGCCCCUUAGUAUUCUAUAGGGCAUGCCUAUUUAAGCGUUAUUUGUACCCUUAAGCUCUACUUGGUGUUAGGUGUUUGUUCUACUUAGGACUUGCCUUAAAAUAAUUGGCAGCUAGCAUAUUAGCCUAGAGCGCAGCAUAUUUUACGCCUCUUGUUAUAGUUGUUAGCAUCUAUUAAGACACUUUUUAAGCUCUUAACCUUAGAUUAGGUAGGGAUACCUGCUAAACUUAAGUAUAUUAAUAAGCGGAGGAAAAGAAACUAAUAGGGAUUGCCCUAGUAACGGCGAGUGAAGCGGCAACAGCUUAAAUUUAAAAUCUAGCUCUUUUAGGGUCUAAGUUAUAAUUUGCAGAGGGCGCUUUGGCAUUAGUAGUAGUCUAAGUUCCUUAGAACAGGACGUUAUAGAGGGUAAGAAUCCUAUACGUGGUCGCUAGCCUUCGCCGUGUAAAGCCCCUUUAACAAGUUAAGUUAUUUAGGAAUAUAGCUCUAAAUAGGAGGUAAAUUUCUUCUAAAGCUAAAUACUAGCUAGAGACUAAUAGCGCACAAGUAGAGUAAUUAAAAGAUAAAAAGCACUUUAGAAAGAGAGUUAAAUAGCACGUGAAAUUGUUAAAAGGGAAGCGCUUGCAGCUAGACUUGCCUGUAGUUGCUUAUCUAGGCUUUUAUCUAGUGCACUCUUCUACAGGCAGGCUAGCAUUAGUUUAGGCAGUUAGAUAAAGGUCUCUGUUAUGUACCUCCCUUUAGGGAGGCCUUAUAGGGGAGACAACAUGCAACUAGCCUAGACUAAGGUCUGCGCAUCUGCUAGGAUGCUAGCGUAAUAGCUAUAAGUGGCCUGUCUUAAAAUAUAGACUAAGGAGUCUAACAUCUAUACAAGUAUUUAGGUGUUAAGCCUAGACGCGUAAUAAAAGUAAAUAGAGGUAGGAACCCUUUUAGGGUGCACUAUUAACUAAUCCUAAUAUCUUUGGAAGGAUUUAAGUAAGAGCAUAGCUAUUAGGACCUAAAAGAUAGUGAACUAUGCUUAAAUAGGGUAAAGCUAGAGGAAACUCUAGUAGAGGCUCGCAGCGGUUCUAACGUGCAAAUUAAUCAUUAAAUUUAGGUAUAGGGGCGAAAGACUAAUUAAACUAUCUAGUAGCUAGUUCCUACGAAAGUUUCCCUUAGGAUAGCAGUAACGUAUUUAGUUUUAUAAGGUAAAGCGAAUAAUUAGAGGCCUAGGGGUUAAAAUAACCUUUACCUAUUCUUAAACUUUAAAUAUAUAAGAAGUCCUUAUUACUUAAUUAAAUGUGGACACUUAAAUGUACUAUUACUAGUAGGCUAUUUUUAGUAAGCAGAACUAGCGAUGCGGGAUAAACUAAACGCGGGGUUAAGGUGCUAGAAUGCACGCUUAUUAGACACUACAAAAGGUGUUAGUUUAUCUAGAUAGCAGGAUAGUAGCUAUAGAAGUUAGAAUCUGCUAAGGAGUGUGUAAUAACUCACCUGCUAAAUAAACUAGCCCUAAAAAUAGAUGGCGCUUAAGCGUGUUACCUAUACCCCGCCGCCAGGGCAAGAUUUAAGCCCUAGCAAGUAGGCAGGCGUGGAGGCUCGUGACGAAGCCUUAGGGGUAACCCUAGGUAGAACGGCCUCUAGUGCAGAUCUUAGUAGUAGUAGCAAAUACUUAAAUAAGAACUUUAAGGACUAAAGUAGGGAAAGGUUCUAUAUAAAUAGCAGUUAGACACAGGUUAGUUAAUCCUAAGAGAUAGGGUAAUUCUAUUUUAAUGUUAGUGCUUACGCCGCGCCCUUAAAAGGGAAGCUAGUUAAUAUUCUAGCACCUAGAUAUAGAUUCUCCGCGGCAACGCAACUAAGAGUAGAGACCUUAGCAGGAGCCCUAAGAAGAGUUCUCUUUUCUUCUUAAUAGUCUAUUACCCUAAAAUUAGUUUGUCUAGAGCUAGGGUUUAAUAGCUAGAAGAGCGCUGCACUUUUGUAGCAUUUAGUGCGCUCCUAACAAGCCUUAAAAAUCUGCUUAAAGAAAUAGUUUUUACGCUAGGUUGUACUUAUAACUAUAGUAGGUCUCUAAGGUAAAAAGCCUCUAGUUAAUAGAAUAAUAUAGAUAAGGGAAGUUAGCAAAAUAGAUCUAUAACUUUAGGAAAAGGAUUAGCUCUAAGGGUUAGGUACGUUGGGCCUUAGAGAGAAGCCUCUAGCGUAGAAGGGCACUAACCGCAAGGUAGGCGCCUCUUAGCGCUAGGGUGCAGACACCCUUAGCAGGUUUUAGCCGUCUAGCGUAUAUUUAACAACUAACUUAGAACUAGUAUAGAUAAGGGGAAUCUAACUAUCUAAUUAAAAUAUAGCAUUGUAAUAGCUAGAAAGUAGUAUUAACGUAAUAUAAUUUCUGCCUAGUGCUCUAAAUGUUAAAGCGAAGAGAUUUAACCAAUGACGCUGGGUAACAUAGUAGGAGUAACUAUAACUCUCUUAAGGUAGCUAAAUGCCUCGUUAUCUAAUUAGUGACGCGCAUGAAUAGAUUAACAAGAUUCCUACUAUCCCUAUCUACUAUCUAGUGAAACCAUAGCUAAGGGAACGGGCUUAGCUAAAUUAGCGGGGAAAGAAGACCCUAUUAAGCUUGACUCUAGUUUAAUAUUGUGAAAAGACAUAGGGGGUGUAGAAUAGGUAGGAGCUUUGGCGCUAGUGAAAUACCACUACCCUUAUCGUUUUUUUACUUAUUCGAUAAAGCAGAGCUAGGCCUUACUACCUAACUUCUAGCGUUUAAGGUCCUUUGUAGGCUAAUCUAGGUUAAAGAUAUUGUUAGGUAGGGAGUUUAGCUAGGGCGGCAUAUCUAUUAAACUAUAACGCAGGUGUCCUAAGGGGGACUUAUAGAGAAUAGAAAUCUCUAGUAGAGUAAAAGGGCAAAAGUCCCCUUAAUUUUGAUUUUUAGUGUGAAUACAAACUAUAAAAGUGUGGCCUAUUAAUCCUUUAGUCCCUUAAAAUUUAAGGCUAGAGGUGCUAGAAAAGUUACUACAGGGAUAACUAGCUUGUGGCAGCCAAGCGUUUAUAGCGACGUUGCUUUUUAAUCCUUUAAUAUUAGCUCUUCCUAUUAUACUAAAGCAGAAUUUGGUAAGCGUUAGAUUAUUCACCUACUAAUAGGGAACGUAAGCUAGGUUUAGACCGUCGUAAGAUAGGUUAGUUUUACCCUACUAAUAACCUUGCCCUAAUAGUAAUACCACUUAGUACGAGAGGAACCGCAGUUUUAGAUAAUUAGUUUUUGCAGCUAUCUAACUAGGCAUUGCCGCGAAGCUACUAUCUACUAGAUUAUAGCUAAACGCCUCUAAGUUAGAAUCUAUGCUAAAAUAGGGUAAUUUCUGCCUGCACUAGUUAGAUAUAAAUAGGCCUUUGGCCUAGAACCUUACUAGAUUAGCGUUAGCAGCCCUAUUAAAGUUAGGGUUAUUAGCUAGUGUAUUACAAUUAUACAGUGCGCAGGAUUAAAUCCUUUAUAGAUAACUUAGUUGUCUAGCUAGGUCGUGUAAGUAGUUAAGUAGCCUUGUUGUUACGAGCUACUAAGCGUAAGCCCGUUGCUAGCUUGGUUAAAAUUAGGAUAUUAUGCCCUCCUUAUUUGCAAAACUACUGCCUAAAUAGCUACUAUUAAUAGAAGGAAGAGGGCUAUAGCAAACAAGUUAUAUAGUAAUUGCAAGAUAGAGAGGGCUAGAGCUAGGAGCAAUCCUCGCAAAAUAUACAAAAGAACAGGUUAUGUGUGUACGUACCUUAGGCAGUUAAUAUAUAGCAUAGGAAGAUUAAGAAAGGAUUUAAGAUAAUCUAUAUAGAUUUUUAGGCGGUGAUCUAUAACUUAAGAGCGUUCUAUAACUUUUUAUUUUUUAGGGGUAGUGUUCUAUAACUCUAGGGCGUUCUAUAACUUUAGGGCGUUCUAUAACUUUAGGGCGUUCUAUAACUUUUUCUUUUUUAGAGGUAGUGUUCUAUAACUUUUGGGCGUUCUAUAACUUUUUAUUUUUUAGGGGUAGUGUUCUAUAACUUUAGGGCGUUCUAUAACUUUAGGGCGUUCUAUAACUUUAGGGCGUUCUACAACUUUUUAUUUUUUAGGUGUAGUGUUCUAUAACUUUAGGGCGUUCUAUAACUUUAGGGCGUUCUACAACUUUUUAUUUUUUAGGGGUAGUGUUCUAUAACUUUUUAUUUUUUAGGGGUAGUGUUCUAUAACUCUAGGGCGUUCUAUAACUUUAGGGCGUUCUAUAACUUUUUAUUUUUAGGGGUAGCGUUCUAUAACUUUUUCUUUUUUAGAGGUAGUGUUCUAUAAGCUUAGGGCGUUCUAUAACUUUAGGGCGUUCUAUAACUUUAGGGCGUUCUAUAACUUUUUAUUUUUUAGGGUUAGUGUUCUAUAACUUUAGCGCGUUCUAUACCUUUUAUUUAUUCUAUUACUUUAGUCCUUUCUAUAACUUUAGACUAUUCUAUACUAGUAGCUAUUAUAUCCUUUUUAUAAUACUUAUUAUAUCAUACUAUUAUCUAUUAUUCUUUACUGUUAAGUAUAUCCUUAUAUUUUAUAAAACCUUUUCUCUACUAGCUAGUCCUACUAUACUUUCUUUUAUAACCUACUAGUAUUAAAUAAUACCUUUAUAUUCUUCUUUUAUACUAUCUCUAUUUCUUGCCUUAUCUAUUAAGUAGAUAUAGAUAGAGCUAAUAGAUCUAUAGUUAAUAUAGAUACAGUAGUUAUAGUAGAGUAUAGAUAUUAGAGCAGAUAUCCUUAUCUAUAUAUUUACCUACUACUAAUAAAAUUCCAAGUUACUCUUAUCUAGCAAAUACAGGUUUAUCGUUUGUAUAGGGCUGCGCAUGUCUACACGGUUUUAUAUACAAAAAAGUAUACCUCUAAGCUAUUUUCCGCCGCACUAACCCCGCGACGCAAAAAUUAAACUAAAACCUGUUCCUAUAAUAUAUAAGGAGGGCAAAUAGAUUGUUAAAUACUAAAUACCUACCUAACUAACUAAGGUUAAAUGUGCUGCGGGUAGUUAUUAGAUCAGGCGGUUAAACUAGCGUUAUUAGGCACUAAGGGGGCAAUUUUUACUUGUGUCCGCGUCUAUACUCCCUAUAACUCCAUAUUGUUAGCGCUCUACGCCUAUUUUAGCGGCAGUUAGACUAAAUUUAAAAGUUUUGGUUUUAUAAUAGCUAGCCUUGUUUCCUAGAUUUCUGCCUAGUUUAGAUUCGCUCUAAUUAGUAGGUAAUUAGGGGCUUAGAGAUUACUCUUCUACUUAACUAGGCAGGCCUAGGCCUAUAUGCUAAAGCAACCCUGCUAUUACGCCUAGUUUUGUGGUUAGCACCUAAAGUCCUACUAUUAAAGUUUUAGUAGUGGGCAAAAUUUAGGGUCUGUAGAUAGCUAGCACUGCUAAACUAUUUAAUAGAUCUUAGGGGACAGCCCUACCUAGUAUCCGCUCCUAGUAAGCGUAGUAAAGCGUGGGUUUUCUCUACUUAAGGCAUGUAUGUGGCGAGUUUAAACACGCAGAAACGCCUAUUAGGCUUUGUUGCGGACUAUUCCUUAAGAAACUUAGUAGGGGCAAUUAAAUUAGUUGCUAGUUGUAACUAGUGCCUUGUAUGCUGUUAUGCUAGUAGCUAGAAUUGCUUCUGCGAUUUCUUAUCACGUACUUUCUGCCUCCUUUUAGGGGUAGUGCUUGUGCGCUUCAGCGUAUUAGGCAUUAGGAUUGUUACCUAGUUAAUUCUGCUAGUAGUUAUAUGCUUAUCUUAAAGAUUAAGCUAUGCAUGUCUAAGUAUAAGCAAUUAUACCGUGAAACUGCAAAUAGCUUAUUAAAUUAGUUAUCAUUUAUUUAAUAGUACCUUACUACUUAGAUAACUAUAGUAAUUCUAGAGCUAAUACAUGCUAAAAACCCUAACUUUAGAAGGGGUGUAUUUAUUAGAUAAAAAACCAACGCCCUUUAGGGCUUCUUAGUAAUUCAUGAUAACUUUAUAGAUCGCAUGGCCUUGCACUAGCGACAGUUCAUUCAAAUUUCUGCCCUAUUAACUUUCAAUAGUAAGGUAUUAGCUUACUAUAGUUUU
rnacentral:rRNA from 1 species